rnacentral:miRNA from 1 species
CAGCACUCCUGAUGUUUUGGACUACAUCCCCCAUAAUGCGCUUACAUCAGUAAUGCUGGCAAAGCAUCAUGGGAGGUGUAGUCCAAAACAUCUGGAGUGCCG